rnacentral:rRNA from 1 species
UACGAGUGGUCCAAGCGUUAUCCGGAAUUAUUGGGCGUAAAGGAUGUGUAGGUGGUUAUGUUAGUCUGGUGUCUAACCUCUGAGCUCAACUUGGAGACAGCAUUGGAAACGGCAUGGCUAGAGUAUGUGAGGGGUAAGUGGAACUAAUAGUGUAGGGGUGAAAUCCGUUGAUAUUAUUGGGAACACCAAAAGCGAAGGCAGCUUACUGGCACAUUACUGACACUGAAACAUGAAAGCGUGGGUAGCGAAUGGG